UGGGGAAUCUUAGACAAUGGGGGCAACCCUGAUCUAGCCAUGCCGCGUGAGUGAUGAAGGCCUUAGGGUUGUAAAGCUCUUUCAGCUGGGAAGAUAAUGACGGUACCAGCAGAAGAAGCCCCGGCUAACUCCGUGCCAGCAGCCGCGGUAAUACGGAGGGGGCUAGCGUUGUUCGGAAUUACUGGGCGUAAAGCGCACGUAGGCGGACCAGAAAGUUGGGGGUGAAAUCCCGGGGCUCAACCUCGGAACUGCCUUCAAAACUAUUGGUCUUGAGUUCGAGAGAGGUGAGUGGAAUUCCGAGUGUAGAGGUGAAAAUUCGUAGAUAUUCGGAGGAACACCAGUGGCGAAGGCGGCUCACUGGCUCGAUACUGACGCUGAGGUGCGAAAAGCGUGGGGAGCAAAACAGGAUUAGAUACCCUGGUAGUCCACGCCGUAAAACGAUGAAUGCCAGUCGUCGGGUUGCAUGCAAUUCGGUGACACACCUAACGGAUUAAGCAUUCCGCCUGGGGAGUACGGUCGCAAGAU
rnacentral:rRNA from 1 species